UACGUAGGGUGCGAGCGUUGUCCGGAAUCAUUGGGCGUAAAGCGCGCGUAGGCGGCCCGAUAAGUCCGCUGUAAAAGUCAACGGCUCAACUGUUGAAAGCCGGUGGAUACUGUCGGGCUAGAGUACGGAAGAGGCAACUGGAAUUCCCAGUGUAGCGGUGAAAUUCGUAGAUAUCGGGAGGAACACCAGUGGCGAAGGCGGCGACCUGGGCCAAUACUGACGCUGAGGUGCGAAAGCGUGGGGAGCAAACAGG
rnacentral:rRNA from 1 species